rnacentral:rRNA from 1 species
GUGCUUGCACCGGGGAUUAGUGGCGAACGGGUGAGUAACACGUGAGUAACCUGCCCUUGACUCUGGGAUAAGCCUGGGAAACCGGGUCUAAUACCGGAUACGACCUGUCACCGCAUGGUGGUUGGUGGAAAGAUUUAUUGGUUUUGGAUGGACUCGCGGCCUAUCAGCUUGUUGGUGAGGUAAUGGCUCACCAAGGCGACGACGGGUAGCCGGCCUGAGAGGGUGACCGGCCACACUGGGACUGAGACACGGCCCAGACUCCUACGGGAGGCAGCAGUGGGGAAUAUUGCACAAUGGGCGAAAGCCUGAUGCAGCGACGCCGCGUGAGGGAUGACGGCCUUCGGGUUGUAAACCUCUUUCAGCAGGGAAGAAGCGAAAGUGACGGUACCUGCAGAAGAAGCGCCGGCUAACUACGUGCCAGCAGCCGCGGUAAUACGUAGGGCGCAAGCGUUGUCCGGAAUUAUUGGGCGUAAAGAGCUCGUAGGCGGUUUGUCGCGUCUGCUGUGAAAGCCCGGGGCUCAACCCCGGGUCUGCAGUGGGUACGGGCAGACUAGAGUGCAGUAGGGGAGACUGGAAUUCCUGGUGUAGCGGUGAAAUGCGCAGAUAUCAGGAGGAACACCGAUGGCGAAGGCAGGUCUCUGGGCUGUAACUGACGCUGAGGAGCGAAAGCAUGGGGAGCGAACAGGAUUAGAUACCCUGGUAGUCCAUGCCGUAAACGUUGGGCACUAGGUGUGGGGGACAUUCCACGUUUUCCGCGCCGUAGCUAAC